UAUGGCCUGAUGAAGAGGCCUCUAUGACCAGUCAACAACGAAGGAAAAAGUACCACCUGAUUUGUGGAUGGAUCUGUCCUGCCAUAUUUGUAGCAGUGAGAAGUGGACAGUUGCUACAUUACAGCCCCACUCGAGGAAGUCCUGGAGAGACAGGGGUGGCCUUUAUGGACAACAUUAAUGGUUUCUGUGGAGUCAGCCAAUGAAAGGCAUUGACAAGAAACUGGAGGAAGGAAGGAUGAAGCUUUUCACUAGGCUUCCUCUCUAGUGGGAAUGAUGAAUGUAUACCAACAUGCUGGAAAAGAGAAGGUUUAUACCGAAUACGUAUUUGCUUCUUUCGUUUUAUACAGUUUCCCUGUGGAAAAAGAGAAACAACAAUCUUCUGUAAAAACCCAGAUAUUGCUUUGUAUUGUGUUUGCUGAGGGUAGAAUUUUUAUAUAUUAGUUUUUGCUAGAGUUCUAUUUUCAUAUUUAAAAAUAUAAACAAAAUAUUUAAUUCUUAGCUUUUUCUUCAAAAGAAUAGAGCAAAGGAAUUGGGGUAAAAAAAAUUUUCGUUACAACAUGUAUUUGCAUGAACUCUAUCUUAGAAAACCAGGUUAGUGUUGUACCAACUAUAUUUCCUCUCUUUCUUUUAAUUAUAAUAACUCAAAUAAAAUGCUUGGUAUUUUUCUAUCCA